AUACCCUAUUAUUUUUAANGUAAAAGUUUAAGCCGGAGUAGUACUAGUUAUGAUCUUUAAACUUAAAGAAUUUGGCGGUAUUAUAGUCUAUUUAGAGGAAUCUGUUAUGUAAUCGAUAGUCCACGUUGAACCUUACUUAUAUAAAUUCUUGUAUACCGCUGUUUAUUGAAAAUACUUUUAGGUUAUUUUCUGAAUAAAUUAAUAAUUAGAAUUUCAAGUCAAGGUGCAGUAAUAUAUAAGAUAAAUAAUGGAUUACAAUAAAUUAUAUUUAUAUGGAUAUUYUUUUAAAAAGGGAUUUGAAGGUGGA
rnacentral:rRNA from 1 species